AUUUUUGAUAUGAGAAUUUUAUGGUUUGGGUUUGGCAUGAAAGACUCUUCUAUACACCCAUAGAAUCUGAGCAUU